AUGGUUAAGUUAGAAAGGGCGCACGGUGAAUGCCUUGGCACUAGGAGCCGAUGAAGGACGGGACUAACACCGAUAUGCUUCGGGGAGCUGUAAGUGAGCUUUGAUCCGGAGAUUUCCGAAUGGGGAAACCCACUGUUCGUAAUGGAACAGUAUCUUUAUCUGAAUACAUAGGAUAUUGAAGGCAGACCCGGGGAACUGAAACAUCUAAGUACCCGGAGGAAGAGAAAGCAAAUGCGAUUUCCUGAGUAGCGGCGAGCGAAACGGAAUUAGCCCAAACCAAGAGGCUUGCCUCUUGGGGUUGUAGGACACUCUAUACGGAGUUACAAAGGAACGAAGUAAAUGAAGCGACCUGGAAAGGUCCGUCGAAGAAGGUAACAACCCUGUAGUUGAAACUUCGUUCCCUCUUGAGUGGAUCCUGAGUACGGCGGAACACGUGAAAUUCCGUCGGAAGCUGGGAGGACCAUCUCCCAAGGCUAAAUACUACCUAGUGACCGAUAGUGAACCAGUACCGUGAGGGAAAGGUGAAAAGCACCCCGGAAGGGGAGUGAAAGAGAUCCUGAAACCGUGUGCCUACAAGUAGUCAGAGCCCGUUAACGGGUGAUGGCGUGCCUUUUGUAGAAUGAACCGGCGAGUUACGAUCCCAUGCAAGGUUAAGCUGAUAAGGCGGAGCCGUAGCGAAAGCGAGUCUGAAUAGGGCGUUUAGUAUGUGGUUGUAGACCCGAAACCAGGUGAUCUACCCAUGUCCAGGGUGAAGUUCAGGUAACACUGAAUGGAGGCCCGAACCCACGCACGUUGAAAAGUGCGGGGAUGAGGUGUGGGUAGCGGAGAAAUUCCAAUCGAACCUGGAGAUAGCUGGUUCUCUCCGAAAUAGCUUUAGGGCUAGCCUCAUGUUGUGAGAGUCUUGGAGGUAGAGCACUGAUUGGACUAGGGGCCCCCAACGGGUUACCGAAUUCAGUCAAACUCCGAAUGCCAAAGACUUAUCCAUGGGAGUCAGACUGCGAGUGAUAAGAUCCGUAGUCAAAAGGGAAACAGCCCAGACCACCAGCUAAGGUCCCCAAGUAUACGUUAAGUGGAAAAGGAUGUGGAGUUGCUUAGACAACCAGGAUGUUGGCUUAGAAGCAGCCACCAUUUAAAGAGUGCGUAAUAGCUCACUGGUCGAGUGACUCUGCGCCGAAAAUGUACCGGGGCUAAACGUAUCACCGAAGCUGUGGAUUGACAUCUUUGAUGUCAGUGGUAGGAGAGCGUUCUAAGUGCUGUGAAGUCAGACCGUAAGGACUGGUGGAGCGCUUAGAAGUGAGAAUGCCGGUAUGAGUAGCGAAAGACAAGUGAGAAUCUUGUCCACCGAAUGCCUAAGGUUUCCUGAGGAAGGCUCGUCCGCUCAGGGUUAGUCGGGACCUAAGCCGAGGCUGAAAAGCGUAGGCGAUGGCCAACAGGUUGAUAUUCCUGUACCACCUCCCCGCCGUUUGAGUAAUGGGGGGACGCAGUAGGAUAGGGUAAGCGCGCUGCUGGAUAUGCGCGUUCAAGCAGUUAGGCUGAUGAGUAGGCAAAUCCGCUCAUCAUAAAGGCUGAGCUGUGAUGACGAGGGAAUUAUAGUACCGAAGUUCCUGAUUCCACACUGCCAAGAAAAGCCUCUAGCGAGGCG
rnacentral:rRNA from 1 species